rnacentral:rRNA from 1 species
AGCCAGAACACAGGUGCUGCAUGGCUGUCGUCAGCUCGUGUCGUGAGUAUGUUGGGUUAAGUCCCGCAACGAGCGCAACCCUUGUCACUAGUUGCCAUCAUUGGUUGGGCACUCUAGUGAGACUGCCGGUGACAAACCGGAGGAAGGUGGGGAUGACGUCAAGUCCUCAUGGCCCUUAUGGGUAGGGCUUCACACGUCAUACAAUGGUCGGUACAGAGGGUUGCCAAGCCGCGAGGUGGAGCCAAUCCCUUAAAGCCGAUCGUAGUCCGGAUCGUAGUCUGCAACUCGACUACGUGAAGUCGGAAUCGCUAGUAAUCGCAGAUCAGCAUGCUGCGGUGAAUACGUUCCCGGGUCUU